AAAAAAUAAAUUUAAAAUUUUAUAGUUAAUAAUUAAUUUUUAUUUAAAAUUAAAAAAAUUUAAAUUAAGUAAUAUUUUAAAUUAUUAAUUAAAAUUGUGCCAGCAAUUGCGGUUAAACAAUUAAUAAAAAAUAAAUAUUAUUAAAUAAAUUUUUUUUAAAAAUAGUAUGAUUAAUUUUAAAAAUUUAAUUUAAUUAGUAAAAUAAUAAAAUUAAUAAAAAAAAAUUAAUUUAAUUAAAAUUAUAAUUUUAAGAAAAUAAAAAAUUUAAUUUAAAACUAGGAUUAGAUACCCUAUUAUAUAAAUUAAAAGUAAAAUUUAAUUUAAUUAGUAAAAUUGUUGAAAAUUAAAGAAUAUGACGGUAUUUAAAUCAUUUUAGAGGAAUUUGUAUUGUAAUUGAUAAUCCACAAAUUAUUAAACUUAUUUUAAAAAAAUUUGUAUAUCGUUGUUAUAAAAAUAUUUUUUAUGAAUUAAUAAAUAUUUUAUAUUUUAGAUUUAAAAUUAUAUCAAAUCAUGAUACAAUUAUAAUAAAUAAGAUUUUUAUGAAUUACAUUAAUAAUUUAAAAUUAUAAAUUUUUUUAUGAAAGAAAUUAAUUUAAAUUGGAUUUAAUUGUAAUUUAAAAUAUUUAUUUUAAAUGAUUAAAGUUUUUAAAUAUGUACAUAUUGCCCGUCACUCUUAUUAAAUUUAAUAAUUUAAAUUAAUUAAGAUAAGUCGUAACAAAGUAGAAAUAUUGGAAAAUGUUUCUA
rnacentral:ncRNA from 1 species